AGCAGCCGCGGUAAUUCCAGCUCCAAUAGCGUAUAUUAAAGUUGUUGCAGUUAAAAGCUCGUAGUUGAAUUUCGAGAUCAAAUUGUUGGUCGUGCCUCGGUACGUACUGGCAUUAUUGAUUUCUCCCUUCUGACGAUCCGCGAUGUCAUUAAUUUGGUGUCGCGGGGAAUCAGGACUGUUACUUGAAAAAUUAGAGUGUUUAAAGCAGGCUCACGCUUGAAUACAUUAGCAUGGAAUAAUGAAAUAGGACGUUUGAUUCUAUUUUGUUGGUUUCUAGGAUCGACGUAAUGAUUAAUAGGGAUAGUUGGGGGCAUUAGUAUUCAAUUGUCAGAGGUGAAAUUCUUGGAUUUAUUGAAGACUAACUACUGCGAAAUGCAUUUGCCAAGGAUGUUUUCAUUAAUCAAGAACGAAAGUUAGGGGAUCGAAGACGAUCAGAUACCGUCGUAGUCUUAACCAU
rnacentral:rRNA from 1 species